GGGGUUUUGAUGGUUUGUGUGUUUUGAUUCAGGUACCAGUGGGAUCCCGUGGCGCGGUGGCACCGGGGAGUCACUGGAAGCAGCUGGAGCGUCUUUAAGGCUGGUUGGACGGUUGGAUGCCUGGUCUGACGACUGGAGGCUGGUUGGACGACUGGAGACUGGUUGGAUGACUCGAAGUUAGUUGAAUGACUGGAGGCUGGUUGGAUGACUGGAGGCUGGUUGGAUGACUGGAGGCUGGUUGGAUGACUGGAGGCUGGUUGGAUGACUGGAGGCUGGUUGGAUGACUGGAGGCUGGUUGGAUGACUGGAGGCUGGUUGGACGACUGGAGGCUGGUUGGAUGUUUUGAGGCCUGGUUGUAAGAAGUUUAGUUGGACGACUGGAGGUUGGUUGGAUUCCAAGCAGAUGUAAUGCUCUGGACAACUGGGUUCAAAUCGGAGCCUGGGCAAUCAGCCUAAUAAGCAUCUGGAUUACAGCGAUAGAGUGAAAUCAGUUGUGGAAGUAAACAAAUUCCCCACAGAAUCGAAGCAUGCUCCCUGCUGCGAAUUGAACUAGUUUGACCCAGUUUGACGGGCCACUGUCAGGGCUGGAUUCUGUGGGAUUAGGACUGGAGGCGUCGGCUGUAUUUACUGUAUUUAUCUCUCGGGCAGACUUCCCUACAGUUUUGUAUCCGGUUUUGUCUCUGCUGCCUUUCACAUCGCCUCACCCCAUGACCCAAAUCCUCCAGCUGUCCCAUCAGUGUCUUCAGAACCAGUAUGAUGCACCACUGACCUGUCACUGUAUUUCCUACACUCUCC
ensembl:lncRNA